GACAUACUACAAUCCGUAAGCAACGAUACACCAUUGCCGACGAUAAUAAACGAUUCUGAACGGAGUUCGGCUGAUGGUGUUGCUUCGUCAACAAUACGUAUGCCAUAUUAUGGUUGAAUAAUUACACAUAUGCAUUUUAUAUUUUCUUUAUCAAUAUUUGUUUGAUACCGUACCUAUUCUCCCGUUUUUCCUGGAUUUCCCCA